rnacentral:rRNA from 1 species
CUUGUACACACCGCCCGUCACACCAUGGGAGCGGGAUGUACCAGAAGUAGGUAGGCUAACCGCAAGGAGGCCGCUUACCACGGUGCGUUUCGUGACUGGGGUGAAGUCGUAACAAAGGUACC